GUUAUUUAGUAUAUUGAGUACGGGCAAUUUCCAUUUGUCAGGUUUGAUGGCUAG
rnacentral:tRNA from 1 species